rnacentral:rRNA from 1 species
CACGUAGGGUGCGAGCGUUGUCCGGAAUUAUUGGGCGUAAAGAGCUCGUAGGCGGUGUGUCGCGUCGGCCGUGAAAACCUGCAGCUUAACUGUGGGCUUGCGGUCGAUACGGGCAUCACUGGAGUUCGGCAGGGGAGACUGGAAUUCCUGGUGUAGCGGUGAAAUGCGCAGAUAUCAGGAGGAACACCGAUAGCGAAGGCAGCUCGCUGGGACGUACUGACACUGAGGCGCGGAAAGCGUGGGGGAGCGAACAGG